UACGAGGGGGGGCAAGCGUUGUUCGGAAUUAUUGGGCGUAAAGGGUGCGUAGGCGGUUUGAUAAGUCACAUGUGAAAUCUUCGGGCUCAACCCGAAGUCUGCAUGCGAAACUGUCGGGCUUGAGUAUGGGAGAGGUGAGUGGAAUUUCCGGUGUAGCGGUGAAAUGCGUAGAUAUCGGAAGGAACACCUGUGGCGAAAGCGGCUCACUGGACCAUAACUGACGCUGAGGCACGAAAGCGUGGGGAGCAAACAGG
rnacentral:rRNA from 1 species